GACGAACGCUGGCGGCGUGCUUAACACAUGCAAGUCGAACGGAAGGGCCCUGCUUUUGUGGGGUGCUCGAUUGGCGAACGGGUGAGUAACACGUGAGUAACCUGCCCUUGACUUUGGGAUAACUUCAGGGAACUGGGGCUAAUACCGGAGAGGAGCUCCUGCUGCAUGGUGGGGGUAGGAAAGUUUCGGCGGUUGGGGAUGUACUCGUGGCUUAUGAGCUUGUUUGUGGGGUAGGUGCUUCCCAAGGCUAUGACGGGUAGGCCGCCUGGGAGCGUUAACAGCGACCUUGCGCCUGCGAUACGCACCAGUAUCCUACGGGCCGCAGUAGUCGGAAGUCUUGCAGAACGGGCGGAAGCCUGAUGCGACAGCGCCGGGUUCGGGAUGCCGGGUUUCGGGUUGUAAACAGCUUUCGCAUGUGACGAAGAGUGAGUGACGGUACUUGGUAAAAAAGCACCGGCUAACUACGUG
rnacentral:rRNA from 1 species